AUCUGCAUUGGUGGUUCAGUGGUAGAAU
rnacentral:piRNA from 1 species